rnacentral:tRNA from 1 species
AAGAAUUUAGUUAACAUUAUAACAUUAACUUGUCAAGUUAAAAUAAUCAAUUUAUUGAUAAUUCUUG